rnacentral:sRNA from 1 species
UACCUGGUUGAUCCUGCCAGUAGCAUAUGCUUGUCUCAAAGAUUAAGCCAUGCAUGUCUAAGUACGCACGGCCGGUACAGUGAAACUGCGAAUGGCUCAUUAAAUCAGUUAUGGUUCCUUUGGUCGCUCGCUCCUCUCCUACUUGGAUAACUGUGGUAAUUCUAGAGCUAAUACAUGCCGACGGGCGCUGACCCCCUUCGCGGGGGGGAUGCGUGCAUUUAUCAGAUCAAAACCAACCCGGUCAGCCCCUCUCCGGCCCCGGCCGGGGGGCGGGCGCCGGCGGCUUUGGUGACUCUAGAUAACCUCGGGCUGAUCGCACGCCCCCCGUGGCGGCGACGACCCAUUCGAACGUCUGCCCUAUCAACUUUCGAUGGUAGUCGCCGUGCCUACCAUGGUGACCACGGGUGACGGGGAAUCAGGGUUCGAUUCCGGAGAGGGAGCCUGAGAAACGGCUACCACAUCCAAGGAAGGCAGCAGGCGCGCAAAUUACCCACUCCCGACCCGGGGAGGUAGUGACGAAAAAUAACAAUACAGGACUCUUUCGAGGCCCUGUAAUUGGAAUGAGUCCACUUUAAAUCUAAUCCAGGAAAAGAGUACAAAACGCCACAUUCUCACUUGUAUUGGGAGCUGAAAAAUGGGAUCACAU